GACGAACGCUGGCGGCGUGCCUAACACGUGCAAGUUGAGCGACGAACCAGGGCUUGCCCUGGGGCAAAGCAGCGAACGGGUGGGUAACACGUGGGUAACCUACCCCGAUAACCGGGACAACCCGAGGAAACUCGGGCUAAUACCGGAUGUGCUCACUGGACUUCGGUUCAGUGCGUAAAGGAAGCUUCGGCCUCCGUAUCGGGAGGGGCCCGCGGCCCAUUAGUUUGUUGGUGAGGUAACGGCUCACCAAGACCGCGAUGGGUAGCUGGUCUGAGAGGACGAUCAGCCACACUGGGACUGAGACACGGCCCAGACUCCUACGGGAGGCAGCAGUGGGGAAUCUUGCGCAAUGCGCGAAAGCGUGACGCAGCAACGCCGCGUGGGGGAAGAAGGCCUUCGGGUUGUAAACCCCUUUCAGGAGGGACGAAGGUGCGGCGGUGAAUAGCCGUCCGGACUGACGGUACCUCCACAAGAAGCCCCGGCUAACUACGUG
rnacentral:rRNA from 1 species